rnacentral:misc_RNA from 1 species
UAAAAAACGUUAAACUUGAACACGAAAAUAAGUGUUCGUUUGUUUACUAUAAAGUCGCCAGUUUUGAAACAGUAAAUUGCGAAAAUCAAUUGAGUUCUUUCAAAAGAAUAUUUAUGUUACCCUAAAUUAUAGCGGUUACUAGAAUAAAAUAAUGAAAGAAGAUAGUGGCACACUUCCCAAAAAAGCUGGCCACCCCUGAUGUAUACCAAGGUGCUACUUUAUUGGGGUGGAGGGUGGAAUCUAUAUAUCUUACUUAGGGAUAUUUCCAUCUGAAAUGCCAUAUGAAUUUCUCAGAUCUGUGAAAAUACUACAACGAUAAAAGAAAUGGUCAGAGUCUGCCAGGACAUCGGUCUGCCUCUUGUAUGCAGAAUUUACUCAAGUAGCUGGGGAAUAUUCUGUGUCCGAUCCUGGGAUCUCGAUGUAAUCAACACACUCAGACUUGGCAGCAUCCCUUGCUAGCACGUCCGCUCUCUCAUUGCCCAUGAAACCAGCGUGAGCCUUAACCCAAUGCAGUCUUAGUACAAUAGAGUUAAAAAUAUCACAAAAUAAAUUUUUAAUAUUAAAAAUUGUAAAAUUAG